GCAACAAAAUGUUUGUCCUGUGGAUUUGGGCUGUAUCCAAUGAAUCCUAAAAGUACUCGGAGAGACUGUUUAGCCCGUCCUGUAGGGAAAAAAGAAAGCUAAACAAAGCAAAAAAGUGAACUAAGAAACAACAGCAAGAAAAUCAGUUUAUAUUAAAAAAAGACUAAUAUUGAGACAGUGGGCAGGAAAAAGAAAAUUCAGAAGGCCAAAGGCUAAACCUCAGACUGAAUCUUGAACUGAAUUGGAAAAUAAAGGAGUGAAAAUUGAAUUCAAAUGGUCAGACCUUGUAAACUGGGCUUGGUGUUUAAAAAAUGAAAAUGCCCUCCAAGGACAGCAGCAGCACCGAAGUUCUGAUCUUCAGGGCUGGAGAGGGCACUGUAAGGUACCAUGCAAAAAGAGAAUGCAUUGUAUAAAAGGUAUCUGAUCCUGUACUGCUUCUACCCUGUAUCUCACCGAGAUUUACAGAAGUCAAUCCAUAUUCGCAUUUUUCAAACUUGUGUUGAUAACACAAUGCAUAUUUUGUGAUCACAGCCUCUGUAGGAAAAUGAUCUUUUUUUAAUGGGAAAAUCUUUAAAAAAGCUGUUCUCAUCCAGGGAAAAUCUGAGAACACCAACAAAAUAUUUUUCUAAACCAAGACUAGGACAAAAUAAUCACAAAAGGAAGCAGAGUAAAAAGUGUACCCACAGUCUGAUAUAACUGAAGAAUUAAUUACUUAAAACAAUAAAAGGCAGCUAUAACAGAAUGGUGGUUUUCUGCUGUAUUCCAGGCAAACAAAUAUAUCAAUCAACGUCUGAGACAAUAAUAGGAUGAAGAGAAAAUACUGCAACUGCCUGGUGGUUUCCAGCAUAUCGAUAACGAAAGGGAAUGGAAUGCCAUCCGGUGAGCUCCACCAUACCAGCAAAACCAAGGACAAGACAGAAAAACUGUGAUGGUCUCCUGGAAUCGGUUCCUGAACUGCAAAUCAGUCUUUAAAUCAGUUUCAAAUACUGACCCACGAAAAGGAGUGGAUUGCAGAUAUAAUAUUCUGCUUUCAAGCAGGGAAUUCAACUCCUUCCAUGAAGGAGAAUAAAAUGUUGCUGUUUCUAUCAAGGUGACAUGAUCCUGAAACUUGUUGCUUCAAUCCACAAUGUGUA